UAUAGAUGCAACUAUAAUUUCCCCGUGUCUAAUUUUGAUCGUCCGUUUUAUUUAUUUUUUAUAAUGAGUAUUUUUAUUGUUAUAAGAUGUUAAAACAUGAAUAAUAUUUUAUACGUGACUUAUGUUCUCAUUUUUUUUUCAAAUUUUUUUAAAUAAAACGGACGGUUAAAAUUACGCACGGAAAAUUAUGGCUGCACUUAUA
rfam:Oryza rufipogon genomic scaffold, chr03